rnacentral:tRNA from 1 species
GGAAGGGCUGUGGCUCAGUGGUAGAUCAUCUGCUUGGCAUGCGGAAGGUCUCAGGUUCAGUUCCCGGAAUCCUCCA